rnacentral:rRNA from 1 species
GGGUUGUGAGGUUAAGCGACUAAGCGUACACGGUGGAUGCCCUGGCAGUCAGAGGCGAUGAAGGACGUGCUAAUCUGCGAUAAGCGUCGGUAAGGUGAUAUGAACCGUUAUAACCGGCGAUUUCCGAAUGGGGAAACCCAGUGUGUUUCGACACACUAUCAUUAACUGAAUCCAUAGGUUAAUGAGGCGAACCGGGGGAACUGAAACAUCUAAGUACCCCGAGGAAAAGAAAUCAACCGAGAUUCCCCCAGUAGCGGCGAGCGAACGGGGAGCAGCCCAGAGCCUGAAUCAGUAUGUGUGUUAGUGGAAGCGUCUGGAAAGGCGCGCGAUACAGGGUGACAGCCCCGUACACAAAAAUGCACAUGCUGUGAGCUCGAUGAGUAGGGCGGGACACGUGGUAUCCUGUCUGAAUAUGGGGGGACCAUCCUCCAAGGCUAAAUACUCCUGACUGACCGAUAGUGAACCAGUACCGUGAGGGAAAGGCGAAAAGAACCCCGGCGAGGGGAGUGAAAAAGAACCUGAAACCGUGUACGUACAAGCAGUGGGAGCACGCUUAGGCGUGUGACUGCGUACCUUUUGUAUAAUGGGUCAGCGACUUAUAUUCUGUAGCAAGGUUAACCGAAUAGGGGAGCCGAAGGGAAACCGAGUCUUAACUGGGCGUUAAGUUGCAGGGUAUAGACCCGAAACCCGGUGAUCUAGCCAUGGGCAGGUUGAAGGUUGGGUAACACUAACUGGAGGACCGAACCGACUAAUGUUGAAAAAUUAGCGGAUGACUUGUGGCUGGGGGUGAAAGGCCAAUCAAACCGGGAGAUAGCUGGUUCUCCCCGAAAGCUAUUUAGGUAGCGCCUCGUGAAUUCAUCUCCGGGGGUAGAGCACUGUUUCGGCAAGGGGGUCAUCCCGACUUACCAACCCGAUGCAAACUGCGAAUACCGGAGAAUGUUAUCACGGGAGACACACGGCGGGUGCUAACGUCCGUCGUGAAGAGGGAAACAACCCAGACCGCCAGCUAAGGUCCCAAAGUCAUGGUUAAGUGGGAAACGAUGUGGGAAGGCCCAGACAGCCAGGAUGUUGGCUUAGAAGCAGCCAUCAUUUAAAGAAAGCGUAAUAGCUCACUGGUCGAGUCGGCCUGCGCGGAAGAUGUAACGGGGCUAAACCAUGCACCGAAGCUGCGGCAGCGACGCUUAUGCGUUGUUGGGUAGGGGAGCGUUCUGUAAGCCUGUGAAGGUGUGCUGUGAGGCAUGCUGGAGGUAUCAGAAGUGCGAAUGCUGACAUAAGUAACGAUAAAGCGGGUGAAAAGCCCGCUCGCCGGAAGACCAAGGGUUCCUGUCCAACGUUAAUCGGGGCAGGGUGAGUCGACCCCUAAGGCGAGGCCGAAAGGCGUAGUCGAUGGGAAACAGGUUAAUAUUCCUGUACUUGGUGUUACUGCGAAGGGGGGACGGAGAAGGCUAUGUUGGCCGGGCGACGGUUGUCCCGGUUUAAGCGUGUAGGCUGGUUUUCCAGGCAAAUCCGGAAAAUCAAGGCUGAGGCGUGAUGACGAGGCACUACGGUGCUGAAGCAACAAAUGCCCUGCUUCCAGGAAAAGCCUCUAAGCAUCAGGUAACAUCAAAUCGUACCCCAAACCGACACAGGUGGUCAGGUAGAGAAUACCAAGGCGCUUGAGAGAACUCGGGUGAAGGAACUAGGCAAAAUGGUGCCGUAACUUCGGGAGAAGGCACGCUGAUAUGUAGGUGAAGCGACUUGCUCGUGGAGCUGAAAUCAGUCGAAGAUACCAGCUGGCUGCAACUGUUUAUUAAAAACACAGCACUGUGCAAACACGAAAGUGGACGUAUACGGUGUGACGCCUGCCCGGUGCCGGAAGGUUAAUUGAUGGGGUCAGCGCAAGCGAAGCUCUUGAUCGAAGCCCCGGUAAACGGCGGCCGUAACUAUAACGGUCCUAAGGUAGCGAAAUUCCUUGUCGGGUAAGUUCCGACCUGCACGAAUGGCGUAAUGAUGGCCAGGCUGUCUCCACCCGAGACUCAGUGAAAUUGAACUCGCUGUGAAGAUGCAGUGUACCCGCGGCAAGACGGAAAGACCCCGUGAACCUUUACUAUAGCUUGACACUGAACAUUGAGCCUUGAUGUGUAGGAUAGGUGGGAGGCUUUGAAGUGUGGACGCCAGUCUGCAUGGAGCCGACCUUGAAAUACCACCCUUUAAUGUUUGAUGUUCUAACGUUGACCCGUAAUCCGGGUUGCGGACAGUGUCUGGUGGGUAGUUUGACUGGGGCGGUCUCCUCCUAAAGAGUAACGGAGGAGCACGAAGGUUGGCUAAUCCUGGUCGGACAUCAGGAGGUUAGUGCAAUGGCAUAAGCCAGCUUGACUGCGAGCGUGACGGCGCGAGCAGGUGCGAAAGCAGGUCAUAGUGAUCCGGUGGUUCUGAAUGGAAGGGCCAUCGCUCAACGGAUAAAAGGUACUCCGGGGAUAACAGGCUGAUACCGCCCAAGAGUUCAUAUCGACGGCGGUGUUUGGCACCUCGAUGUCGGCUCAUCACAUCCUGGGGCUGAAGUAGGUCCCAAGGGUAUGGCUGUUCGCCAUUUAAAGUGGUACGCGAGCUGGGUUUAGAACGUCGUGAGACAGUUCGGUCCCUAUCUGCCGUGGGCGCUGGAGAACUGAGGGGGGCUGCUCCUAGUACGAGAGGACCGGAGUGGACGCAUCACUGGUGUUCGGGUUGUCAUGCCAAUGGCACUGCCCGGUAGCUAAAUGCGGAAGAGAUAAGUGCUGAAAGCAUCUAAGCACGAAACUUGCCCCGAGAUGAGUUCUCCCUGACUCCUUGAGAGUCCUGAAGGAACGUUGAAGACGACGACGUUGAUAGGCCGGGUGUGUAAGCGCAGCGAUGCGUUGAGCUAACCGGUACUAAUGAACCGUGAGGCUUAACCUUACAACGCCGAAG